rnacentral:sRNA from 1 species
UCGACUGUUGAAGACGGUCGCAUAAAGUUUUUGUUUGUGUUUUGUUUCUCAUUUAGAUAUAUCAUAUCUUGAAAAUGCAUUUCAUUCAAAUGCGAAAUAUCGAUACAUAAAUAAUAAAGAAAAGAGAAA